CCAGGCUGGACCACAAUUUCAUCCUUUUCAAAGGAGAUGAAUUCUAGAAUUGGUGUUAAGACAUCAUAACCCUAACAAAUUUCAGGUUGCUCAAUCCCAAGACAAAGAGCUCUUGGAUAAUGGAAUAGAAAAAGGGUUAAAGAAUGGUUUAGAACUAAUUCAAGAAAGAACAAUUCGAUUCCUACUUGGAGAAGGACACAGAGACUGAAUCAGAUGGGGCUGUGGAGCCUGGGGAGGAAAUUGUGAUGACUGUGCAGGUCAUCUGCAAUCUGCAUUUCGAAAAACAGUUCCUGGAAUUGCUGCUGCUUUGUCCCUGCUUGGAAGAUUCAAUCUUUUGGACUGCCAUGGGACUAGAUUCUGGCCAGAAUGGAGCAGAAGAGACAGGAUGUCUACUUAAAGGUACUGUGGGAUGAGAAACCACGAGGAGGAAAAGCAAAUCACAGAACAGAAGCCCCGGUGGACUGUCAGGCACCGAGCGGGAGGUCCAGAUGACCCAGCUGAUGACAUCCUUGGUGUCUAGGAACACAAGGGAGAAUCUAUCUGCUGGCAGGAAGAGAAAAAAGAAUGUACACAAGGUACUGUAUAUUUGCAAUUUUUUUUUAAACACUGGAGACAGGAAAUGUUUGAGUUAGAGUGGUAAUGCUAAAAUGUCUGGGUGCAUGUUCUUUAUUAUUGCAUGCAAAAGUUGCAUUUAAAA